rnacentral:rRNA from 1 species
UACGUAGGCAGCGAGCGUUGUUCGGAGUUACUGGGCGUAAAGCGUGCGUAGGCGGCGUCUUAAGUUUGUUGUGAAAUCUCCCGGCUUAACCGGGAGGGUGCGGCGAGUACUGAGAUGCUGGAGUGCGGGAGAGGUAAGCGGAAUUCCUGGUGUAGCGGUGAAAUGCGUAGAUAUCAGGAGGAACACCUGCGGUGUAGACGGCUUACUGGACCGUAACUGACGCUGAGGCACGAAAGCGUGGGUAGCAAACAGG